UACCAGCACCCCGAGUGGUCGGGACGAUUAUUGGGCCUAAAGCAUCCGUAGCCGGUCAUGCAAGUCCUCCGUUAAAUCCAGCUGCUUAACAGAUGGGCUGCGGAGGAUACUACAAGGCUAGGAGGCGGAAGAGGCAAGCGGUACUCAGUGGGUAGGGGUAAAAUCCUCUGAUCCAUUGAAGACCACCAGUGGCGAAGGCGGCUUGCCAAUACGCGCUCGACGGUGAGGGAUGGAAGCUGGGGGGAGCAAACCGG
rnacentral:rRNA from 1 species